AACGAUGUGGUUUAUCAAGAAUAUUGGGUUUGCGUCUCAAAGGUGGAAAUUUUCUCUUCGUUA
rnacentral:tRNA from 1 species